GAUGAACGCUGGCGGCGUGCCUAAUACAUGCAAGUCGAGCGAACAGACGAGGAGCUUGCUCCUCUGACGUUAGCGGCGGACGGGUGAGUAACACGUGGAUAACCUACCUAUAAGACUGGGAUAACUUCGGGAAACCGGAGCUAAUACCGGAUAAUAUAUUGAACCGCAUGGUUCAAUAGUGAAAGACGGUUUUGCUGUCACUUAUAGAUGGAUCCGCGCCGCAUUAGCUAGUUGGUAAGGUAACGGCUUACCAAGGCAACGAUGCGUAGCCGACCUGAGAGGGUGAUCGGCCACACUGGAACUGAGAUACGGUCCAGACUCCUACGGGAGGCAGCAGUAGGGAAUCUUUCGCAAUGGGCGAAAGCCUGACGGAGCAACGCCGCGUGAGUGAUGAAGGUCUUCGGAUCGUAAAACUCUGUUAUUAGGGAAGAACAAAUGUGUAAGUAACUAUGCACGUCUUGACGGUACCUAAUCAGAAAGCCACGGCUAACUACGUG
rnacentral:rRNA from 1 species